UACGUAGGGUCCGAGCGUUGUCCGGAAUUAUUGGGCGUAAAGGGCUCGUAGGCGGUUUGUCGCGUCGGGAGUGAAAACCUCGGGCUUAACUCGGGGCUUGCUUUCGAUACGGGCAGACUGGAGGUAUGCAGGGGAGAACGGAAUUCCUGGUGUAGCGGUGAAAUGCGCAGAUAUCAGGAGGAACACCGGUGGCGAAGGCGGUUCUCUGGGCAUUACCUGACGCUGAGGAGCGAAAGUGUGGGGAGCGAACAGG
rnacentral:rRNA from 1 species